AGAGUUUGAUCAUGGCUCAGGAUGAACGCUAGCGGCAGGCUUAAUACAUGCAAGUCGAGCGGUAACAGGUGUAGCAAUACAUGCUGACGAGCGGCAGACGGGUGAGGAACACGUACGCAACUUUCCUCAAACCGGGGCACAACCUUGAGAAAUCAGGGCUAAUUCCCCAUAACAUUGCGAGAGGGCAUCUGAUUGCAAUUAAAGAUUCGUCGGUUUGAGAUGGGCGUGCGUUCGAUUAGCUAGUUGGUAAGGUAACGGCUUACCAAGGCAACGAUCGAUAGCUGGUGUGAGAGCACGACCAGCCACACGGGCACUGAGAUACGGGCCCGACUCCUACGGGAGGCAGCAGUAAGGAAUAUUGGUCAAUGGACGAAAGUCUGAACCAGCCAUGCCGCGUGAAGGAUGAAGGCCCUCUGGGUUGUAAACUUCUUUUAUCUAUGAAGAAAUGUCCUGUUUCUACGGGAUUUGACGGUAAUAGAUGAAUAAGCACCGGCUAACUCCGUGCCAGCAGCCGCGGUAAUACGGAGGGUGCAAGCGUUAUCCGGAUUUACUGGGUUUAAAGGGUGCGUAGGUGGGUUGGUAAGUCAGUGGUGAAAUACUUUCGCUUAACGAAGGAACUGCCAUUGAUACUACCAGUCUUGAAUACAGUGGAGGUAGGCGGAAUGCGUCAUGUAGCGGUGAAAUGCUUAGAUAUGACGCAGAACACCAAUUGCGAAGGCAGCUUGCUACACUGUUAUUGACACUGAGGCACGAAAGCGUGGGGAUCAAACAGGAUUAGAUACCCUAGUAGUCC
rnacentral:rRNA from 1 species